rnacentral:tRNA from 1 species
UCCCGAAUAGCUCAGCUGGUAGAGCAAGUGACUGUUAAUCACUGGGUCGCAGGUUCGAGUCCUGCUUCGGGAGCCA